rnacentral:misc_RNA from 1 species
GUGUGUGAGAAGGCACAUGGACGGCGUGGGAGGGUCAGUGCGUGGAAAUUGUGAUCCUGGAACCUUGGGGUCUACAAUCGAAGCUGGCAAGUCCUGGUGGGGAAGCAGAGGCGUGCAUGCUCCAAAGCACGUGGGCCCCAACAGGGUUCAUUUUCUUUUCCCUCUCUCCUUGCCUUUGAAACUGCGAGGGCCAAGGGUGGACCUCUCUCCCAGGGCCACUCCCAGGGACAAGGAUGGACCUCUAUCCCACCCCUUAUCUGAGGGCCGCUGCACUCUGCAAUGGACGGCUGUUGAUAUAUUUUUUUCUGGUCCCAGACACCGUUUUUUCCUCAUUUCCAGGCAGCAGGAGCCCACCUCAUGUCUCUCUUAUGGGAUUGGGACAACUCGGCCCAACACACGUAAGAAAAGGACCCACAAAUUGUUCGUUUGUCCUGCUGGGUGAAUUUCUCUGCUUGCUAUACUGAAUUAUUAUUCAUGCUAUCCUCAAUUAUCAAAUAAAAAAAAUUGGAUAAAUAAAAUGGUGGAAUGGAAUAUGCUCCCACGUGCCUAAACCAGGAAGCUGGAAUAUCUUCCCUUCCUUAUUUGUGCUUCAAC